UUCCACAAUAAAUCUAUUUCGCUUUUGUAAUAAGAAACAGAUUAAUUUCUUUCAGAAGGAAAAGCAGUGAGAAUGGUUUGGUUGGUUACAGAGCUACAGGAAUGAGAGGUGGGAGAGUUUCUCUUCCUUUGUGGGUAGAGAUGAUUAGGGGGUCGUGGAGAGUGAAGUUUGAACAUCAACUGUUUGCACUGGUGCACCAGGGCAGGCAGGAAUCAGAGGCUGUCUGGGCCAAUCUCACUGCCUGGACACAGGCGCCUCAGUGUGAACCGGGGCCUGUGAUGGGCCGAUACUGCUCGUUCCUGGAACAAGGGCCCUGUGUCUUCCACUGUCCAACACAAAGGACAGAGUUCCCCUGUUUACUUUGGAUUAGAAAUGUUCAAAUGAAGGACAGCAACAACAUUUGAGUUUUUCCUCUUUUCAGUUUCUUACAAAAAAACAAAUUGUAGUAAGUCAGAGAUUUUUUUGGCAUCUUCGGUGAAUAAAAUCAAUCAGACUAGAUCGCUGAAGGAGUCUUAAAGAGCUUCCCUUGUUUACUAUGUUUUUUAGAUUUAUGGCUUAAAGCUUAAGAAGUAGCAGUGACUGACUAGGCCUCUGAAUUGUCCAUUCAUUUCCCAAGAAAUGAGGCAUUCCCAAUUCCUUGGUCAGUUGGGCGAAGUGACCUUUGACCUUUGGCAAUAAGCUCAUUCUAGGCUGGAAGUAAUCACAUAAUUAUGGAAACACUCCUUCCUUUUGUCCAACCUCCCACACACUUCGAAAUACUCCUUUCCUUUCAGAUGCUCAUUCAAAACCCCCCUCAAUUAGACCUGCUAAGACAUAGAGUUUGUAUCAGACAUAGAAGUCUUUAAAUCAUCAAAGUCUAAGUGGUCCCAUGUUGAAAGACUGUGCCUAACACUAUAGGGAAUAAGACCUUGAAUACCAUGGUGCCUUCACCUAUGCUCUGAAACUGCACCUCAGAUCUGAGAAAAAUGUGCCCGCCUGGUCCUUGACUUAGAUAUCACUAAAGAUCUGGCCAUCAGCCUCUUCCUGAUGCCAGACACAAGUCAGGAGGUGAAGCUACUAAUGUUAUCCCCAAUUUAAAGAUGUGAAAACUGAGACUCACGGAAACUAGGUGACUUGUCUAGGGUCACACAGCCAGGAAACGUCAAGGUGAGAAUUUGAACCCUGGCCUUCUGAACUUGAGAUCCAGGGCCUGGCACAGAGUG
rnacentral:lncRNA from 1 species